rnacentral:rRNA from 1 species
GACGAACGCUGGCGGCGUGCUUAACACAUGCAAGUCGAACGAAGAGCGAUGGAAGCUUGCUUCUAUCAAUCUUAGUGGCGAACGGGUGAGUAACGCGUAAUCAACCUGCCCUUCAGAGGGGGACAACAGUAGGAAAGGACUGCUAAUACCGCAUACGAUCUAACCUCGGCAUCGAGGAGAGAUGAACGGUGGCCUCGACAGGUAUGCUAUCACUGAAGGAGGGGAGUGCGGCUGAUGAGCUAGAUGGCGGGGUAGCGGCCCAGCAAGGCGAGGAUCAGGAGCCGGGAGGCGUGGAUGGACGGCCACAUUGGGACUGUGACACGCCCCAGUCGCCUACGGGUGGCAGCAGUGGGGAAUCUUCCGCAAUGGACGAAAGUCUUACGGAGCAACGCCGCGGGAGUGAUGACGGCCUUCGCGUUGUAAAUCUCUGCUAAUCGGGUCUAAAGGCCUUCUUGCGAAUAGUUAGAAUGAUUGACGGUACCGGAAUAGAAAGCCACGGCUAACUACGUG